GAUGAACGCUAGCGAUAGGCUUAACACAUGCAAGUCGAGGGGCAGCACAAGGUAGCUUGCUAUCUGGGUGGCGACCGGCGCACGGGUGCGUAACGCGUAUGCAACUUGCCCUAUACAGGAGGAUAACCCGUCGAAAGACGGACUAAUACUGCGUAUGCUCACAACUUGGCAUCAAGUGGUGAGGAAAGAAAUUCGGUAUAGGAUAGGCAUGCGUCCCAUUAGCUUGUUGGUGAGGUAACGGCUCACCAAGUCAACGAUGGGUAGGGGAACUGAGAGGUUUAUCCCCCACGCUGGUACUGAGACACGGACCAGACUCCUACGGGAGGCAGCAGUGAGGAAUAUUGGUCAAUGGGCGCGAGCCUGAACCAGCCAAGUCGCGUGAAGGAUGACUGUCUUAUGGAUUGUAAACUUCUUUUAUACGGGAAUAACAAGAGUCACGUGUGACUCCCUGCAUGUACCGUAUGAAUAAGCAUCGGCUAACUCCGUG
rnacentral:rRNA from 1 species